UUCUGUUUAAGCUGCUGUCGUCCGCAGGGUUUCAGUUUGAAGCAGAUGAACUUGAAGCUGUGAGCCAUAUUUCCUUUUUGCUUUUCUAGUUUGGUCUCAAAACAAAUCUUCUGCUUUGGCCUGUAAGAAAAAUCUAUUUACAGAGCUCACUUUCCCAAAUGUAGUGUAGUGUGACUGAUUGCUAUGGUCCUGUCCAAACCUUUAAGUCACAAACCUGGAGAUGAAGGCAUUCCGUGAUAGACCCUGAACCCCGUGGACUUUUGAGACUAUCGCAGCACAGACAGCCCUUGUACAGGUUCUGCUCCAACCGACAGCUGGCAAUCCUUCUACACUGUGGCUAACUACGCAUUGUGCAGGGAUAUGGGGACCAAAAGACAAGUCGAUCCUUAUGUCAUCUGGAAGACUGAAUUCAAACCUGAACAACCACUGCUUGAAUGGACAGCUGCUAGCAAGCCAUGUAGGUCCUCUGCCCCUCAGUUACCCUUCAAUGAGAGACUGCAAUGAUGCCUACCUGAGUGGCUUGAGGUAAGAGGUUUUCUGUGCCUGACAUAGGAACUUUCAGAUGUGAACUUACACAAGAGUCUGCCAAUGGGCAGGAAACACAAAACAAAACCACAUUGUAUAUAUUGCCCGUGGUCCAUCAUAGAUGUGAGUGUUAAUCAGUAAUUAAAGAAGUGAGCAGGACCUGGAGGUGCAACCAGUUAUAGAGCACAUACUUGGUCUAUGGGAGUUCUGGGUUCAGGAAGAAACUACAGGAGACUCAAAUUCCUACUUGGAUCCUUGAGACUGUGCGAUAGGGCACAGGUUUAUAAACAGUGUUAAACAGCUGAUCGGGCUUUGGCUUUAAUUUAAUGAAUUAAAAAAUUAUGUAAGCAGCUA